UACGAAGGGUGCAAGCGUUACUCGGAAUUACUGGGCGUAAAGCGUGCGUAGGUGGUCGUUUAAGUCCGUUGUGAAAGCCCUGGGCUCAACCUGGGAACUGCAGUGGAUACUGGGCGACUAGAGUGUGGUAGAGGGUAGCGGAAUUCCUGGUGUAGCAGUGAAAUGCGUAGAGAUCAGGAGGAACAUCCAUGGCGAAGGCAGCUACCUGGGCCAAAACUGACACUGAGGCACGAAAGCGUGGGGAGCAAACAGG
rnacentral:rRNA from 1 species